ACCUAGUUUAACCACACCCACAAGGGAAUCCAGCAGUAAUCAACAUUGAGCAUAAGCGACAGCUUGACUCAGUUAGAGUGAACAGGGCUGGCAAAUCCGGUGCCAGCCGCCGCGGCUAUACCGCGAGGCCCAAAUUGAUUUUUUCCGGCGUAAAGCGUGAUUAAAGUUACUAGCACAAUUAUAGUCGUACCAGAACUAAGCCGUAACACGCUUGUACCUGAGAAGAACAAAAACGAAAGUUACUAUAUGCCACCCCCACUUGAAUCCACGACAGCUGGGAAACAAACUGGGAUUAGAUACCCCACUAUGCCCAGCCGUAAACUUUUAAUUACAUCCGUAUCGCCUGGGAACUACGAGCUAAGCUUAAAACCCAAAGGACUUGACGGUACCCCAUAUCCACCUAGAGGAGCCUGUCCUAUAAUCGAUAAUCCCCGCUAAACCUCACCAUUUUUAGCAUAUCAGCCUAUAUACCUCCGUCGUCAGCCUACCCCGUGAGUGACCCAUAGUGCGCUUAAUGUUAUUACAUCAGUACGUCAGGUCAAGGUGCAGUAAAUGAAAUGGGAAGAGAUGGGCUACACUCUCUAGUAUAGAGAAUACAAAAGACUACUUAUGAAAUUUAGUUGGAAGGCGGAUUUAGAAGUAAAAAGAGAUCAUAGAGCUCUUUUUAAUACGGCACUG
rnacentral:rRNA from 1 species